UAAAAAUGUAUCUAAAAGCAAAUAAGUAUGAAACACAGCGAAAAAUUAAAAUCGUGCGAUAAUUGUGCGAAUGGUUUCUAUGCCCAGAAUUGUUCAAAACCAAAGCCUGAUGUUGUGAACUUCAAAAUCCUUUGUAUAACUUACACUUAACACUAUGAAAAACAACAAAAAAUUAAAAUCACGCGAAAAUUGUUCGAAUGUUUUUUUAUGCCCAGAAUUGUUCGAAAACGAAGUCUGAUAUUUUGAGCUUCAAAAUCCUUUCUAAGUUACGCUUAACACUGUGAAAAAUUAAAAACCAAUGCUAGUUUUACCUUGUUUCAUUGUUUGAGCAAGUUUAAAACAUUCGAUUCAAU
rnacentral:lncRNA from 1 species